UUAGAUUUUAAAUUAAAGGGAUAGUUCACCAAAAACUUUUUAAAAAUUCUGUAUUUUACUCUCCCUCAAGAAUGUCUUGAAGAGGGUCCCCAUUGACUUCCAUCAUUUUUUUUUUUUUGCAUAACAAUGGAGGUCAAUGGGGACCAAUAACUGUUUGGUUACCUGGAUUCUUCAGAAUAUCAUCUUUUUAUGUUUGAAACGACGUGAGAGUGAGUAAAUGAUGACAGAAUUUAAAUUUGUAGGUAUACUGUCCCUUCAAAUCCCUUCCCUGACACUCUGUGCUUCGUAAUUAAGAUUUCUUUAUUUAUCAAAUGGAUUCUUUUAACAUCCAAAAUCCAAUCGUUAUCCAUUCAAUUCUAAAGUAUAUUUUCACAGAGUUCCCACAAUUAUUUUUUGCAUGUCUUUAAUUUUCCUUAAAUAUUCUUCCCGUACUAUUUUUUAUUUUUUUUUCCCCCACACAGCUUUGCAUGUUCAACUUAAACUGUCAAAUGUUCACAGGUGCUAAGAUGAACAUGCUCACGGACACCUCUGAAAGAAAGAACCCGUAAAGCAUAGUCACACACCUCAUGCUAACUGGAACUCAUUCACGUGUGCACAGAUCACUGCGGAACGAAGCACGUUAUCACGAGUUUUCCCUGGACAGUUGGUCUGUCGGGAGUCCUCACAAGCUUUUGUACUUGGAAUAAUGUUUACAUUUUUAUAUAUAUUUGGAUUUCUACUGUGCAAAGGGAUCUGUAUGGCUUGUUUUGAACUUGAUUACAAAUGUGUGCAGAACUGAAGUCAGUGGGUGGAGGCUUGAGCUAGAUUAUGGUUUUAAAGUUCGGUGUGAUGCCAUUGUUAAUAGGCAGAUCUCCCCAACGGUUGCACACAUCAGACCGGAUGUUUUUGUGUUCAUAUGCAUGACUCUUCCAAAAUGCUUUUUCUAAGUUGAGUAUGUCAUUAUUUGAAUCUAAUGGGACAGUGUUUUUAUUGCAUGAAGGUGCAACAGUCAUUUGGAUGUUGUCAGUCAGUCAGGACAGCACAUGUCUGACAAGUUCAACAUUUCUGUUAUAUUUUUGAAGUUUAUUGUUAAUUGUGACCUCUGUAACUUUUUUGCAUCAGGCUACUGAAAUCGUAAGCACUCUGUAUAAGACAAAUUUGUGUCAAUUUUAAUAGGCUGUGUUUUCCGCCUGUUAGCCGACCGAUUGCAUGCUGCAUGAAUACACUGUACACUUUGGCAUGGCAUCCUCAGUGCAAUAUGUUCAAUGGUCAAGUAUAGCCAAGCCUUUGAAUUACAGUAAUGUUAUUAAAAUAUUCAUGUUAUGCAGACCCUGUUGUGACAUUUUAUCCGUCUGUGAUCACAGACUUUAGUGGAUGAAGUGUUUGUCGUGUGGAUCGUGUUAAGAUGAGACGCCAGGUCACUAUCUGCCCUUACAUUCACACUAGAGCUUAACAGCACUGGAAAUGCAUCAUCUAUAUAUCCUGAUGUGCUGAUGGUUUCUUCCAUUUUUCCAGAAUUGUCAAGAAUUCUUGAUUAUUGAUAUGCGUUUGUAAAACAAACAAAAAAAUACUUUUUAUAAAUAUUUUUUAAUGUUAUAACUUUGUCUGUUGUUUUGUAAUAAAUCAUUCACUGGUUAAGCGGGAA